GAGUGAAGUGAUGUUUUACCAUCUUUCGGGACUGACUUAAAAAUGAUGAUAAAAGUUUAUACUGAUCACUC
ensembl:snoRNA